rnacentral:lncRNA from 1 species
ACCCCUUUUCUGACCACCUACCUACCUGCAGAUCCUGGUUGGUUGGUCACACUGCUUUUAACCACAUAAUCAUUGGAAUUAAGUUAUGAUUGUUUGAUGAUUGACACUUGGAUUAUCUCUUAAUGAGAUCUCAUGUCUAUCUCCCCGGGGCUCUGAAUCAAUGUCUAGAAGUCACUGGCAAUACUGCAUGAGGGUUUUUUUUUUUACUAAUUAGUCUUGAGAGGAGGAAAAAUUCCUUCCUUUAUAUACUGAUCCCAUUGAUAACCCCCACUUCCUGCACACCACGGAUCAGAAGGCCCGUGCUCAUCCAUAUUACCAAAAGAGGAGGAUGUAAGGUUUACAGAUCGGCUAAAAAUCAGGCUCCGAGUCUAUUUCAGACCAAGAGACUCUGGGUUAAUCUAACACACACGUCAUCAUGUGCUCUCACAACUCCACCACCCCAGCUGCUGGAAAUCAAGGGCGGAUCUCAAAGGCUGCAGCUAUCUUUUUACCAGGAAUAUCUUCCUAUGGCUUCCUUUAGCCUGUCUUCUCCACCCCGUUUAUUUUUAUCUUAAACAGAGAGACAGGAGAAUUACUCUUACACUCUGAUAGAGUGUUUUCUACCAUCUUCCCAGAUGGUCCCUGCGCUCGAAGUCAAAGCACUCUGCCUAGUGGCCUGUUUUUAACUGUUCUGGGGACAGGAUGGCAAGGAGGACGGGGGCUUGCCACACGACCGAUUGAUUGGGUGUUUGGUUUUGGUUUGCUUCCUUCCCAUGAUUCACCCCGCCUCAUGGGACAAGGAGUUUCUUUUUCCUCCUCCUUUGGGGAUCAUUGUAUAUGAAAGAAAACCUUUGAAUGACAAACCCAGACUCUAGGUGCCUUGCAGAGGUUGAAGGCCAGCCACGCCACUGCUUCCACCACCAGCCGCCACUGGCCUGCCAGAGAAAGGAUGCAUGUCUCGGUCCCCAGCCCGCCUCCUCCUUCCUUCCUGUCCUUCAACCUCUCCCCUGUUUCUUUUCCUUGUGCAGAUUAUUUUUAAGCCAUCUAUCCUGUUUGUGUGCAGGGUUCUUAAGAAGGCAUGGCACAGUGCAAUGAGCAAAUCCUCUGAGUGUGGGAGGCGGGGGGUGGGCGAGCAAGAUGUUGGACACGUGUACAAUCCUGUAUCAUUUAUGAAAUAUGUAUAAAAAGCAAUGUACCUUCCGGAACAAUAAAUACUUAUUCAAUUUUUG